CUUCUUGUUAUAGAAUGAUCCAGUUCUGAGACAGAAAGCUUUGGAAUACAUGGACUUCUUUGAGAUAACAACUGACGUUGAAGCAACUCAAGUGAUACGGAUCGCGCAGUCUUUGUCAGAAGCUUUGAAGGCUUUUUGUGAAAAGAAAGAAGCUCUCAAGCAUAUUAGAAGCCUUCCACCACUGAUGCCACCAAGAGACAGAAAUACAAAGCUGCAAAAACCUAUGAAAAAAGCAUACAAACCCUUUGAUGAUAAUCCAGG